GACGAACGCUGGCGGCGUGCCUAAUACAUGCAAGUCGAGCGGACGAAUCGAAAGCUUGCUUUUGAUUCGUUAGCGGCGGACGGGUGAGUAACACGUGUGCAACCUGCCCUGUAGACGGGGAUAACACCGAGAAAUCGGUGCUAAUACCGGAUAACACGAAAUGUCGCAUGACGUUUCGUUGAAAGACGGCGCAAGCUGUCGCUACAGGAUGUGCCCGCGGCGCAUUAGCUGGUUGGUGAGGUAACGGCUCACCAAGGCGGCGAGGCGUAGCCGACGUGAGGGGGUGAUCGGCCACACGGGGACUGAGACACGGCCCAGACUCCUACGGGAGGCAGCAGUAGGGAAUCUUCCGCAAUGGACGAAAGUCUGACGGAGCAACGCCGCGUGAGCGAAGAAGGCCUUCGGGUCGUAAAGCUCUGUUGUUAGGGAAGAACAAGUAACGCAGUAACUGGCGUUACCGUGACGGUACCUAACGAGAAAGCCACGGCUAACUACGUG
rnacentral:rRNA from 1 species